rnacentral:rRNA from 1 species
GUCCACGCCCUAAACGAUGUCUACUAGUUGUCGGGUCUUAAUUGACUUGGUAACGCAGCUAACGCGUGAAGUAGACCGCCUGGGGAGUACGGUCGCAAGAUUAAAACUCAAAGGAAUUGACGGGGACCCGCACAAGCGGUGGAUGAUGUGGAUUAAUUCGAUGCAACGCGAAAAAACCUUACCUACCCUUGACAUGAAUGGAAUCCCCGAGAGAUUGGGGAGUGCCCGAAAGGGAGCCAUUACACAGGUGCUGCAUGGCUGUCGU